rnacentral:sRNA from 1 species
AGUACAGCUCCGGCCGCCGCGCCGCUUGGCUUUCGUAUUCCUUGUUCUCGGCAGGCUGUGGGGCCUCCGCGCCGCGGCCGUUAGUCAUGUCGGAUUCUGGAAGUUACGGUCAGUCUGGGGGUGAGCAGCAAAGUUAUUCUACCUAUGGAAAUCAAGGCAGCCAAGGCUAUGGACAAGCAUCACAAGUUAUUCACAGUCCUAUGGUGGUUAUGAGAAUCAAAAGCAGAGCUCAUAUAGCCAGCAACCAUAUAAUAACCAGGGACAGCAGCAAAACAUGGAAUCACCAGGAAGCCAAGGUGGAAGAGCACCUUCCUAUGACCAGCCAGACUAUGGUCAACAAGAUUCAUAUGACCAGCAGUCAGGCUAUGAUCAACAUCAAGGCUCAUAUGAUGAGCAGUCAAAUUAUGAU